rnacentral:rRNA from 1 species
GUCCACGCCUAACGAUGACGACUGGAUGUCGGAAGGGUCUGCCUUUCGGUGUCGUAGCUAACGCGUUAAGUCGUCCGCCUGGGGAGUACGGCCGCAAGGUUGAACUCAAGGAAUUGACGGGACCCGCACAAGCGGUGGAGCAUGUGGUUCAAUUCGAUGCAACGCGAAGAACCUUACCUGGCCUUGACAUCCGCGGAACUUGGCAGAAAUGCCUUGGUGCCUUCGGGAAUCGCGAGACAGGUGCUGCAUGGCUGUCGU